rnacentral:rRNA from 1 species
AUUGAACGCUGGCGGCAGGCCUAACACAUGCAAGUCGAGCGAGCGUCGGACGGGUGAGUAAUGUCUGGGAAACUGUCUGAUGUAGGGGGAUAACUACUGGAAACGGUAGCUAAUACCGCAUACCAUCAGAUGUGCCCAUAUGGGAUUUGCUGGUAAGUGGGGUAACGGCUCGCUUAGGGGACGAUCCCUAACUGGUCUGAGUGGAUGACCAGCCAAACGGAAACUGAGACACGGUCCAGACGCCUACGGGAGGCAGCAGUGGGGAAGAGUGCACAUUGGGCGCAAGCCUGAUGCAGCCAUGCCGCGUGUGUGAAAGAGGCCUUCGGGUUGUGAGGCGCUUUCAGCGGGGAGGCGUUACCCGCGGAAGAAGCACCGGCUAACUCCGUGCCAGCAGCCGCGGUAAUAC